CUCGAAGAUUGGUGAGUGGAGUCAGGGACACAGGAUGAGUCCUGGGUUUACUGACCAGAACCUGGAACGAUCUUGCAUUUCCUCCUCCCGUUGUCCUCCAGGCAAGCAGCUGACCUACACCUACCCCUUGGUCUAUAACUACCAGCUGGAAGGGAUCUUUGCCCAGGAAUUCCCCGACUUGGAGAAUGUGGUCAAGGGCCACCACGUUAGCCGAGAACCCUGGAAGAGCAGCAUCACACUCACAUCCCAGGCCGGGGCUGUUUUCCAGAGCUUUGCCAAGUUCAGCAAAUUUGGAGAUGACCUGUACUCCGGCUGGUUGGCGGCAGCCCUUGGUGCCAACCUGCAGGUCCAGUUCUGGCACAAAACUGUAGGCAUCCUGCCCUCCAACUGCUCGGAUAUCUGGCAGGUUCUGAAUGUGAACCAGAUAGCUUUCCCUGGACCAGCCGGCCCAAGCUUCAACAGCACAGAGGACCACUCCAAAUGGUGCGUGUCCCCAGAAGGGCCCUGGACCUGUGUGGGUGACAUGAAUCGGAACCAGGGAGAGGAGCAACGGGGUGGGGGCACACUGUGUGCCCAGCUGCCAGCCCUCUGGAAGGCCUUCCAGCCGCUGGUGAAGAACUACCAGCCCUGUAAUGGCAUGGCCAGGAAGCCCAGCAGAGCUUAUAAGAUCUAACCCUUAUGGCCAGGUGCAGUGGCUCACGUAUGUAAUGCCAGCACUUUGGGAAGC
rnacentral:sRNA from 1 species